GACCUACGGGAGGCAGCAGUGAGGAAUAUUGGUCAAUGGGCUAAGGCCUGAACCAGCCAAGUCGCGUGAGGGAAGACGGUCCUAUGGAUUGUAAACCUCUUUUGUCGGGGAGCAACGAGGCCACGUGUGGCCGAAGUGAGAGUACCCGAAGAAAAAGCAUCGGCUAACUACGUGCCAGCAGCCGCGGUAAUACGUAGGGGGCAAGCGUUAUCCGGAUUUACUGGGUGUAAAGGGAGUGUAGACGGCGCGGCAAGCCUGAAGUGAAAGGCAGGGGCUUAACCCCUGAACUGCUUUGGAAACUGCCA
rnacentral:rRNA from 1 species